rnacentral:rRNA from 1 species
GAUGAACGCUGGCGGCGUGCCUAAUACAUGCAAGUCGAGCGAACGGACGAGAAGCUUGCUUCUCUGAUGUUAGCGGCGGACGGGUGAGUAACACGUGGAUAACCUACCUAUAAGACUGGGAUAACUUCGGGAAACCGGAGCUAAUACCGGAUGAUAUUUUGAACCGCAUGGUUCAAAAGUGAAAGACGGUCUUGCUGUCACUUAUAGAUGGAUCCGCGCUGCAUUAGCUAGUUGGUAAGGUAACGGCUUACCAAGGCAACGAUGCAUAGCCGACCUGAGAGGGUGAUCGGCCACACUGGAACUGAGACACGGUCCAGACUCCUACGGGAGGCAGCAGUAGGGAAUCUUCCGCAAUGGGCGAAAGCCUGACGGAGCAACGCCGCGUGAGUGAUGAAGGUCUUCGGAUCGUAAAACUCUGUUAUUAGGGAAGAACAUAUGUGUAAGUAACUGUGCACAUCAUGACGGUACCUAAUCAGAAAGCCACGGCUAACUACGUG